CCUACGGGGGGCAGCAGUGGGGAAUUUUCCGCAAUGGGCGCAAGCCUGACGGAGCAAGACCGCGUGCGGGAGGACGGCCUAUUGGUUGUAAACCGCUUUUGAUAGGGAAGAAGUACUGACGGUACCUAUCGAAUCAGCAUCGGCUAACUCCGUGCCAGCAGCCGCGGUAAUACGGAGGAUGCAAGCGUUAUCCGGAAUUAUUGGGCGUAAAGCGUCCGUAGGUGGUUGUUCAAGUCUGCUGUUAAAGCGUGCGGCUUAACCGCAUACCAGCAGUGGAAAC
rnacentral:rRNA from 1 species